rnacentral:rRNA from 1 species
GACGAACGCUGGCGGCGUGCUUAACACAUGCAAGUCGAACGGAAAGGCCCUGCUUUUGUGGGGUGCUCGAGUGGCGAACGGGUGAGUAACACGUGAGUAACCUGCCCUUGACUUUGGGAUAACUUCAGGAAACGGGGGCUAAUACCGGAUAGGAGCUCCUGCUGCAUGGUGGGGGUUGGAAAGUUUCGGCGGUUGGGGAUGGACUCGCGGCUUAUCAGCUUGUUGGUGGGGUAGUGGCUUACCAAGGCUUUGACGGGUAGCCGGCCUGAGAGGGUGACCGGCCACAUUGGGACUGAGAUACGGCCCAGACUCCUACGGGAGGCAGCAGUGGGGAAUAUUGCACAAUGGGCGGAAGCCUGAUGCAGCAACGCCGCGUGCGGGAUGACGGCCUUCGGGUUGUAAACCGCUUUCGCCUGUGACGAAGCGUGAGUGACGGUAAUGGGUAAAGAAGCACCGGCUAACUACGG